AUUGAACGCUGGCGGCAGGCUUAACACAUGCAAGUCGAGCGGGGGGAGGUAGCUUGCUACCGGACCUAGCGGCGGACGGGUGAGUAAUGCUUAGGAAUCUGCCUAUUAGUGGGGGACAACAUCUCGAAAGGGAUGCUAAUACCGCAUACGUCCUACGGGAGAAAGCAGGGGGUCUUCGGACCUUGCGCUAAUAGAUGAGCCUAAGUCGGAUUAGCUAGUUGGUGGGGUAAAGGCCUACCAAGGCGACGAUCUGUAGCGGGUCUGAGAGGAUGAGCCGGCACACUGGGACUGGGACACGGCCCAGACUCCUACGGGAGGCAGCAGUGGGGAAUAUUGGACAAUGGGGGGAACCCUGAUCCAGCCAUGCCGCGUGUGUGAAGAAGGCCUUAUGGUUGUAAAGCACUUUAAGCGAGGAGGAGGCUACUCUAGUUAAUACCUAGGGAUAGUGGACGUUACUCGCAGAAUAAGCACCGGCUAACUCUGUGCCAGCCGCCGCAGUAA
rnacentral:rRNA from 1 species